GGGCCCGUGGUCCAGCGGUUAAGAAGGGUGAACACCUUAAUACACGCCACCCUUACAAGGUGGAGGUCCCGAGUUCAAGUCUCGGCGGGCCCA
rnacentral:tRNA from 1 species